GAGGGUGUAGCUCAGUGGUAGAGUGUGUGCUUAGCAUGCAUGAGGUCCUGGGUUCAAUCCCCAGCACCUCCA
rfam:Camelus ferus unplaced genomic scaffold scaffold1451, whole genome shotgun sequence.